rnacentral:lncRNA from 1 species
CAAUGGCGGUGGGAGGUAUAGAGUUUUGGGGGAGUGCAUAAAAUCAACAUAUUAUCGAAGGUGCUUAGAUAUUGAUCCUGUAUUUCGAGGUAGUUCAAAAUCACCUCCCUUGGUCCGCCGGGUUUGACCUCAUAUUUCUGAGCUUGGUGGAGAAUAAUUCACGCGUAAAAUGCCGAAGAGAAAGUCCCCAGAGGGUCCUGAGGGAAAGGAGGCCCCCAAAGUCACAAAACAAGAGAGGCCUGCUCCAUCCAAGCCUGAGGCCAAACCCAAGAAGGCCAUCGUCAAGAAGGUCGCUGAUGAUAAGGGGGCCAAGGCAAAGAAAGGCGGUGCCAAGGGCAAGAAGGAGGAUGGACCCGCCCAGAACGGAGAGACUAAGACCAAUGAGGUAACUGAAGCAGCAGAGGAGGCGAACGAGGAGAAGGCGUAAAGACACAGGCGCAUCCACCGGGCUCGCCCCCUCUCUUGACACCAUGGCAGCAAAGCAUCUUUUUUUACUGACGAUUUUUGUACCAUGCUGACUUUUUUUUAGACUUGUGAUAGUAGAGAUGGACAACCAGCAGCCCCACCUCAUAUCCUCGCCUCUUUUUAUUUUUUUUUUUGCUCAGUUCUCCUCCAUUCUGUACGGCUAGACGGUUUGCCUCUUAGAGGCAGAAAGGCUUGAUGAAUUGUUGUUUUAUCAGACAGCUGCAGAUGUUCUUUGUUUUGCCUGAAGGGGGCCAUACAAGUGACUGUUAUGAUCUUUAAAACCAGCUCUUCCUUUGUUUGUAGUUAUUCUUCUCUUAAAAUCUUAUCAUCAUUAUUGGUUCUCAGCCUGUAAUGAGGAGAUGCUCUAGUUUCCCGUCCCCCUGAUGGUGAAGGUAAGGAUAGGUGCAGAGCUACAAGAAACCAGUUCCACAGUCGCCAUGGGGAACAUCUGCAGCUCUUUAAAAAAAAACGUGUAGUUUGUAGAAUCACCACCACUGUGUCCCACAUAGCUCUUUUUGUAUGUGUGUGUGCUGGAGUGGAUGUUUGUGGGUCUCUGUGUUUGACUUUGUUCACUUUGUUUCCCAACCCCUCCACCCCUCCUGAACGCCUUGUCCUGCAGCAGAGUGACAUAGCAAUAAUGAGUGGUGCUUCUGUUCUAGACGGCUCUAUUGGCUUUGGAC